rnacentral:rRNA from 1 species
CACACACGCUUCAAGUAAGAUGGAUUGACUUGGUGUAAUAAUUUAAUCAUCACAUCAAGGAAAGUAGUCAAAUACUUGCCAUCUUUUUUGAAGGGGAAAAGGGACUUCUAAACCCCACACAUAUACAUAUUUAAGACCUCAAAUCAGGUGGGACUACCC